UCGACUGUUUGGGAUGAGGAUUACUGACAAGGUAAUCGAGCUGAUAAAAGAUCUGGAUGACGAUCAGAUCGAUCACUGCGGAGAACUAUCAUAAAGCCUUGCUACCAAAAUUAUGUGUUACCGGAGAGAAAAUGCGCUAAACUAUGCUGACGGUCAUAAGAAUGAUAGCUGUAUACUGACGCUGAUCUUUUUGGACGAUGUUUACCCUUGAGAACGUUGAGAACCUACCCUAAUUGAGAACGAGACGAAGCGAAAACAUCCCGACCUUCCAAUACUGAUCACGAUAUACUUCAACAACGGAGAUAAUUAUACGGAUACCUUUAAGUUAUGGACAUGAAUUGCAAAUAGACUGGAAGCACACUGGACUCACUUAAAAUUAUCAAUCUUAAUUUUAAACAGUAAAACUUGGUUGUUGAUACCAAGUAUAAUUUGAAACAUUUUAUACUAUCUACAGUAUGAGUAUCUAAGAAGUAGUAUGUAUUAAUUGUUGAUAGACAAUGAUUUUAAAGACGCUAGGAAAUUACUUUCAUUUCUUCUCAGUUCACCUCAAUUUAAAAAUUAAAAAACCGUUUUACAAUUAUUGCAAUAAAGGAUGCUGUAACUUUGAUCACUAUUUGGUAAUCAUGGUACUUAGCUUCGGUUUGGCUCACAGCUGUUUUAUUAGUCUGUUUAGAUGAACCAUGCCAAAUCAAUGAAUUAGAUUUAAAAUUGUACCUUUUAUCUUGCCUCAUGCAUUAUCAAAAGCAUACUUAAAUUGUAUAUAAGUGAAUUUAUUGGAAAAAAAUUUGUUGUCAUAUCGACAAUCUAAAAUGAACUCUGAAGUUAUUGUAUGAUACGUGAAUAUAUU